rnacentral:rRNA from 1 species
GACGAACGCUGGCGACGUGCUUAACACAUGCAAGUCGAACGGUGAAGCGCCUUCCUUUUUGGUGGGUGUGGAUGAGUGGCGAACGGGUGAGUAACACGUGAGUAACCUGCCCCCUUCUUCUGGAUAACCGCAUGAAAGUGUGGCUAAUGCGGGAUAUUCUGGGUCUGUCGCAUGAUGGGUCUGGGAAAGAUAUUGUUUCGGUGGGGGAUGGGCUCGCGGCCUAUCAGCUUGUUGGUGGGGUGAUGGCCUACCAAGGCGGUGACGGGUAGCCGGCCUGAGAGGGUGGACGGUCACACUGGGACUGAGACACGGCCCAGACUCCUACGGGAGGCAGCAGUGGGGAAUAUUGCACAAUGGGCGCAAGCCUGAUGCAGCGACGCCGCGUGAGGGAUGGAGGCCUGCGGGUUGUGAACCUCUUUCGCCAGUGAAGCAGGCCUGCCUCGUUUGUGGGUGGGUUGACGGUAGCUGGAUAAGAAGCGCCGGCUAACUACGUG